UACGAAGGGGGCUAGCGUUGCUCGGAAUCACUGGGCGUAAAGGGUGCGUAGGCGGGUCUUUAAGUCAGAGGUGAAAGCCUGGAGCUCAACUCCAGAACUGCCUUUGAUACUGAGGAUCUCGAGUUCGGGGGAGGUGAGUGGAACUGCGAGUGUAGAGGUGAAAUUCGUAGAUAUUCGCAAGAACACCAGUGGCGAAGGCGGCUCACUGGCCCGAUACUGACGCUGAGGCACGAAAGCGUGGGGAGCAAACAGG
rnacentral:rRNA from 1 species